rnacentral:misc_RNA from 1 species
AAAAAAAGUCCUAAUUAAACGAAUUUCUUCCUUUGAAAUUUUUGGGGAGUGGAGAGAAAGUAAGAACCCAUCAAAACAUUGAUUCAAAUCAAAUAAUAAUCAUAUAAAGGAACAUAAGUAAGCAAAGAAAAAGAAAAAGGAGAUUAACAAGGAUCAAUCAUAGCUACAAAGCCCAGCAUCUUUCAAGUUGGGUGCCAAUCAGCCACCAACUUAUUUGAGAUAAAAGUAGCAACAACAUGAGAUUCAAGCAUAGCGCAACAACAUGAGAUUCAAGCAUAGCGCAACAAUGACAAUAGAGUUCGAGAGAGGAAGCCAACAGAUCAUGAGUUCGAGAGAGGAAGCCAGGAGAUUGCAAGAAACAGUAAUAUAUUGAGGAAGACUUUUAUAGUGGCCUGGUUUGAUGACUUAUGAGCCACAAGACCUAGAGGACAGAGGUGUCAAGCAAGGUAGAGUCGUAGAGAUA